rnacentral:sRNA from 1 species
AAUUAUAUCGGGGUCGAUUGGAAUCGAAAUAUAUCUGAAAAAGAGGACAAGAAUCAGGGACAAACUGGAGCCCCUUUGGCCGAUUCUUGUCGUCGGUGAGUCAUUUUUGUUCUGCUUUCGAAAUAUUGACACCGCCACCGGCUGACAUUCCUACGUGUGUGUCUCAUGUGGCUCAUGUGAUUCAUGAUUUUUUUUUUUGAGUUGAGCACACACAUGGUUGGAACAAAAAAAUACUGUAGACUAUCUGGAAUUAGAGGAUAAGUUAACGAAAUCUUUUUAUUUUCAGAAUUGUCCAAUUGAUCUCCCAUUCGCAUUAUUCCUCAUUCAACCGGCGACGACGACGACAAUGGUCAGUUCCGGUGAGGAGCGAACAGCUGCAGGGAAGACACCUAUUGGUGACGACGCGGCCAGCGAUUCAGAUGCAGAUGGAGCUGAAGAGGUUUGUUUAUUUUUAAAUAAAAAUUAUGUAAAAAAUCGAAUGAAAAAUCACGAUGGCUUCAUUUUUUCUUGUCUUAAAUUCCAAAAAAAAAAGUUUCAAUAUAUCGAAUAAAACCGUUAAAAGGUUAUAGAGUUUUUUAAAACUUUUUUUUAAAUUUUGCCAAAAAAAAAUUGAAAAAGUCUAAUUUUUGAAUUCCUGCGCACGGCCAAUUUAUUUUUUGGGUUAUCAAUUUUAUUUACAGAAAAAUUUCGUAAAAUGUAACAAAUCAUGUUUAAACUCAAUAACUAAAGAAAAACCAAAUUAGUAAAGCCAGAAAAUAAAUAAUGUCGAAACUAAGUUCAUUUGGGCAGAAAUUUAAAAAGCAUUUAGUUCCGAAAUAAGUGUGCAAUUGAAAGAAAAAAAAAUAAAUUUAACAUUAUUUUUUUUCAGAUAUGAUUUAAAAUAAUAUAUUUAAUAUACUUUUGAAUUUAUAUUUUAAAGUAAUUUUUGCGGUUUUUCAGAUCUUAGAAGAGUCACCGGACAAACGAUGGUCAAAACGAAGAGAACAAGUGAAACAGAGAGAUGUACCCGGUAUAGACGUCGCCUAUCUUGCAAUGGAUAACGAAACUGGUGAUUUUUUUAAAUUUAAAAAUAUAACAUCCUCAGCGUAUUGAGUGUUCGUAAAAAUAAAAAAUUAUUUUUCGUCCUGAAAAGUAAAAUUUUUGUAAAGAUCUCCAAAAAUCACUUCUAUAUUUUUUGCAUCAUAAUCACCAAUAUCAUCAUAAAUAUUUCAGGUAACGAAGUUGUCUGGAAUGAAGUUCAAUUUUCGGAAAGGAAAAACUUUCGAGCACAAGAGGAAAAAAUCAACGCUGUAUUCGAUAAUCUGACUCAAUUAGUUCAUACAAAUCUAGUAAAGUUUCAUAAAUAUUGGACAGAUUCAAAGUCGGAAAAACCAAGGGUACGUUGAUUUUCAAACUCGUAUAUAUUUAUUGUUUCUGUGGUGAUGAGUUUCAAAAAAAAUUUUUUUUUUGAUUUUAAACCCGUAAAAACUUUGAGAAAGUUAUAUUGCACGGAAAAUAUUUAAAAAAUGAAAACCCAAAUUUUGUAAAAAAAAAGAAACAAAAUACAACAAGCGGUUGAAUUGCAAAAAGUGUUUUUUUAGCAAAAAAAUCUCAAAAUCCCAUUGAAAACUAUUUUUCGUCAAAAACCAAAUAUAAACCGGAAAUGUCCACUUGUGCACAGUUUAUUACAACAAAAGCAUAUUCUAUAUUCAAAGUGUCAGAAAAAAACUGCAGUUUGAAAAAUUUCACAACAAGUACCGUACUUUUUGAAAAAACUGUGAUUAGCUUAAAAGUUUUAUGUUUUUUUCUUCCAAUUUGUGAAUAGGAUAGAAUGUUUGAAAUAAAAUAUUCCGUUUUUUUUAGAUAAUAUUCAUCACAGAAUAUAUGUCAUCCGGUUCAAUGUCAGCAUUUCUUCAAAGAACACGAAAAGCCGGCUCAUCACUUAGCAUUAAGGUAUAACUUAUUGAGACAUCUAACGUAUUACUCAUCUUCAUAAAUCAGCAAUUGCAGGCUUGGAAAAAGUGGACGACGCAAAUUUUGUCAGCAUUAAACUACCUUCAUUCAUCGGAUCCACCUAUAAUUCAUGGAAAUCUGACGUGUAAUACGGUGUUUAUUCAGCAAAAUGGUCUCAUAAAAAUUGGAUGUGG